UACAGAGGGGGCAAGCGUUGUUCGGAAUUACUGGGCGUAAAGGGCGCGUAGGCGGCCUUCUAAGUCGAACGUGAAAUCCCCGGGCUCAACCCGGGAACUGCGUCCGAGACUGGACGGCUCGAAUCCGGGAGAGGGAUGUGGAAUUCCAGGUGUAGCGGUGAAAUGCGUAGAUAUCUGGAGGAACAUCGGUGGCGAAGGCGGCAUCCUGGACCGGUAUUGACGCUGAGGCGCGAAAGCCAGGGGAGCAAACGGG
rnacentral:rRNA from 1 species